rnacentral:rRNA from 1 species
GUAGUCCACGCCGUAAACUAUGAUCACUCGUUGUUGGCAAUACAUCGUCAGCGACCGAGCGAAAGCAUUAAGUGAUCCACCUGGGGAGUACGGUCGCAAGAUUGAAACUCAAAGGAAUUGACGGGGGCCCGCACAAGCGGAGGAACAUGUGGUUUAAUUCGAUGAUACGCGAGGAACCUUACCUGGGCUUAAAUGCAGGACGACGGAUCGGGAAACCGGUCCUUCCUUCGGGACGGACUGCAAGGUGCUGCAUGGUUGUCGUCAGCUCGUGCCGUGAGGUGUCGGGUUAAGUCCCAUAACGAGCGCAACCCUUAUCGUUAGUUGCCAGCGGGUCAUGCCGGGGACUCUAACGAAACUGCCGGUGUAAACCGAGAGGAAGGUGGGGAUGACGUCAAAUCAGCACGGCCCUUAUGUCCAGGGCUACACACGUGUUACAAUGGUCGGUACAAAGGGCAGCUACCUGGCAACAGGAUGCAAAUCUCGAAAACCGAUCUCAGUUCGGAUUGGAGUCUGCAACUCGACUCCAUGAAGCUGGAUUCGCUAGUAAUCGCGCAUCAGCCAUGGCGCGGUGAAUACGUUCCCGGGCCUUGUACACACCGCCCGUCAAGCCAUGGAAGCCGGGGGUACCUGAAGUCUGUAACCGCAAGGAGCGGCCUAGGGUAAAACUGGUGACUGGGGCU